rnacentral:rRNA from 1 species
AUUGAACGCUGGCGGCAGGCCUAACACAUGCAAGUCGAACGGUAACAGGAAGAAGCUUGCUUCUUUGCUGACGAGUGGCGGACGGGUGAGUAAUGUCUGGGAAACUGCCUGAUGGAGGGGGAUAACUACUGGAAACGGUAGCUAAUACCGCAUAACGUCGCAAGACCAAGGAGGGGGACCUUCGGGCCUCUUGCCAUCGGAUGUGCCCAGAUGGGAUUAGCUAGUAGGUGGGGUAACGUCUCAGCUAGGCGACGAUCCCUAGCUGGUCUGAGAGGAUGACCAGCCACACUGGAACUGAGACACGGUCCAGACUCCUACGGGAGGCAGCAGUGGGGAAUAUUGCACAAUGGGCGCAAGCCUGAUGCAGCCAUGCCGCGUGUAUGAAGAAGGCCUUCGGGUUGUAAAGUACUUUCAGCGGGGAGGAAGGGAGUAAAGUUAAUACCUUUGCUCAUUGACGUUACCCGCAGAAGAAGCACCGGCUAACUCCGUG